rnacentral:misc_RNA from 1 species
CCUGAACAGGUUGACUGGAUUGGCCAGAAGAAUCAGAUUGAUGCUGCCAAGGCUGCUGGAGUUAAACAAAUCGUUUUGGUCGGCUCUAUGGGUGGAACAAAUAUCAACCAUCCCUUGAACAGUUUGGGUAAUGGGAACAUAUUGGUUUGGAAAAGGAAGGCUGAGCAGUAUUUGGCUGACUCCGGUGUUCCAUACACCAUUAUAAGGGCUGGAGGUCUGCAGGAUAAGGAUGGCGGGAUCCGAGAACUGCUAGUUGGGAAGGACGAUGAACUUCUUCAAACAGAGACGAGAACCAUUGCCAGGGCCGAUGUCGCCGAAGUCUGCCUUCAGGCACUGCAAUUUGAGGAGGCCAAAUUCAAGGCGUUCGAUCUAGCCUCGAAGCCUGAGGGAGUAGGCACGCCCACAAAGGAUUUCAAGGCCUUGUUCUCUCAAGUGACGACGAGAUUCUGAUUUGGGUAGAGUUUGUAAUAUCAUUCUUCCCAUUUGAAGCAUUGUUGUCCUGAAUCGUUGUGCUGCUAUUAAAUUUUGAACAGUGAUCUUUCAAUAGUUGUGGGAGAGGAGAGGCUGUAAGGAUCCUAGAAUAAUGAUGCAUUAGAACUAAAUCUCAUGCCAUCAGUCUGUAGUUCAGA